GAGUUUGAUCGUGGCUCAGAUUGAACGCUGGCGGCAGGCCUAACACAUGCAAGUCGAGCGGUAGAGAGAAGCUUGCUUCUCUUGAGAGCGGCGGACGGGUGAGUAAUGCCUAGGAAUCUGCCUGGUAGUGGGGGAUAACGCUCGGAAACGGACGCUAAUACCGCAUACGUCCUACGGGAGAAAGCAGGGGACCUUCGGGCCUUGCGCUAUCAGAUGAGCCUAGGUCGGAUUAGCUAGUUGGUGAGGUAAUGGCUCACCAAGGCGACGAUCCGUAACUGGUCUGAGAGGAUGAUCAGUCACACUGGAACUGAGACACGGUCCAGACUCCUACGGGAGGCAGCAGUGGGGAAUAUUGGACAAUGGGCGAAAGCCUGAUCCAGCCAUGCCGCGUGUGUGGAGAAGGUCUUCGGAUUGUAAAGCACUUUAAGUUGGGAGGAAGGCAGUAAAUUAAUACUUUGCUGUUUUGACGUUACCGACAGAAUAAGCACCGGCUAACUCUGUGCCAGCACG
rnacentral:rRNA from 1 species